AUGGAGGUUCUGGAUGCAAUAAAUAAUAAGAAGAUACCGACUGGAUGGAAUUCCACUAAUAUUGUUUUGAUACCCAAGGUUGAGUGUCCAGAGGUAAUAUCUCAGUACAGGCCUAUCAGCCUUUGUAACGUAGUUUAUAAGAUUAUCGCGAAGAUGAUUGCUAACAGGCUAAAGAGGAUCCUACCAGAGAUUAUUUCUCUUACACAGAGUGCAUUUGUUCCAGGUAGAUCGAUCACCAACAACGUACUUGUGGCCUAUGAGUGUUUCCACACAUUGAAGAAGAAGACACAUGGGGACCCCCUCUCCCCUUACCUGUUUUUGUUAUGCUCAGAAGGGCUCUCUAGUAUACUAGCUCAUAAGGAGGAGGUGGGACACCUGGAGGGAAUUAAAGUUGAAAGAAGUAUAGUUUUCACCCCCAAAUCCAUCUCAAUGUAUCCAUAA
rnacentral:rRNA from 1 species